AACGAACGCUGGCGGCAUGCCUAACACAUGCAAGUCGAACGAGACCUUCGGGUCUAGUGGCGCACGGGUGCGUAACGCGUUGGAACCUGCCCUUAGGUUCGGAAUAACUCCCCGAAAGGGGUGCUAAUACCGGAUAAUGUCUUCGGACCAAAGAUUUAUCGCCUUUGGAUGGGCCCGCGUUGGAUUAGCUAGUUGGUAGGGUAAAAGCCUACCAAGGCGACGAUCCAUAGCUGGUCUGAGAGGAUGAUCAGCCACACUGGGACUGAGACACGGCCCAGACUCCUACGGGAGGCAGCAGUGGGGAAUAUUGGAAAAUGGGCGAAAGCCUGAUCCAGCAAUGCCGCGUGAGUGAUGAAGGCCUUAGGGUUGUAAAGCUCUUUUACCCGGGAUGAUAAUGACAGUACCGGGAGAAUAAGCUCCGGCUAACUCCGUG
rnacentral:rRNA from 1 species